CCUACGGGUGGCAGCAGUGAGGAAUAUUGGUCAAUGGACGAGAGUCUGAACCAGCCAAGUAGCGUGAAGGAUGACUGCCCUAUGGGUUGUAAACUUCUUUUAUAUGGGAAUAAAACGUUCCACGUGUGGGAUUUUGUAUGUACCAUAUGAAUAAGGAUCGGCUAACUCCGUGCCAGCAGCCGCGGUAAUACGGAGGAUCCGAGCGUUAUCCGGAUUUAUUGGGUUUAAAGGGAGCGUAGGUGGAUUGUUAAGUCAGUUGUGAAAGUUUGCGGCUCAACCGUAAAAUUGCAGUUGAAACUGGCAGUCUUGAGUACAGUAGAGGUGGGCGGAAUUCGUGGUGUAGCGGUGAAAUGCUUAGAUAUCACGAAGAACUCAGAUUGCGAAGGCAGUUCACUGGACUGCAACUGACACUGAGGCUCGAAAGUGUGGGUAUCAAACAGGAUUAGAUACCCCUGUAGUC
rnacentral:rRNA from 1 species